rnacentral:tRNA from 3 species
GGGCCUAUAGCUCAGCUCAGGUUAGAGCGCACGCCUGAUAAGCGUGAGGUCGGAGGUUCGAAUCCUCCUAGGCCCA